rnacentral:lncRNA from 1 species
GUUGGUUCCUUUUUUCAGUAAAAACAGAGCAUAAUUUAGAAGAGACAGAAGAGUAAAGAAAGGAGCUACUUUACUUUCAUAUGUUUUCUUUUAAAGUAGUGAUUUGUAAAACCUGUUUUUCCUAUUCUUUUCAGAGUUUCCAUUCCUAUAUGAAGAGUCCAAAGCUCCCCAAUGUCACUGACAUGCCAUGCUCAUCUUUUGUGCGUUUAUAGAGUGCUGUGGCUUUCCCCUGUCUGCAUACGCUUCAGUUGAGCAUUGUCACUCUCUGCUUUUUUAUGUGUGUUCUACUUGAUUGCUUCAUGCUGAUUUUUGGGUAUGUCUGAAAGUCAGCAUGACCAGGGCAAAAAGGGCAACUUUCCCUGCAACGAAAGCUAAGAAUUUAUUAUAAAUUAUUUUCAUUUAUUAGGAAACAAGAAGUAAUAUUUUCUAUAAAGAUAAAAUGAGAAAGCUGCCAAGAUUUUUAACUAUCCCUUCUCCAGAUCAGAAUACUCAUCAGCUCAAAAACCAAGAGGAAAUCUUGAGGAUCCUUAACUAUGGUAUGCCUUGGACACAUCCUGGAGAUCCAUGUCAUGGCUCCAACCCUUAGCAGCUGUUUGAUUCCACGAGCCUGUUUUCCUGUCGGGAAGGGGCAUCUGAAGGCAGGGCUCCUGUCCUGGGACGGACGCAUCAUCGUUUCCAGCUCUGUCCCAGAUGCAAGAACCUGGAUGCCAAAUCCAUCCUCUCUGGGUGAAGUGGGAAUGUGUGAGGACGACAGGUCUAAGUCCAAAUUAAAUAAAAAGACACACUCACAGAAAAG